UUAAGCGACUAAGCGUACACGGUGGAUGCCCUGGCAGUCAGAGGCGAUGAAGGACGUGCUAAUCUGCGAUAAGCGUCGGUAAGGUGAUAUGAACCGUUAUAACCGGCGAUUUCCGAAUGGGGAAACCCAGUGUGAUUCGUCACACUAUCAUUAACUGAAUCCAUAGGUUAAUGAGGCGAACCGGGGGAACUGAAACAUCUAAGUACCCCGAGGAAAAGAAAUCAACCGAGAUUCCCCCAGUAGCGGCGAGCGAACGGGGAGGAGCCCAGAGCCUGAAUCAGUGUGUGUGUUAGUGGAAGCGUCUGGAAAGGCGCGCGAUACAGGGUGACAGCCCCGUACACAAAAAUGCACAUGCUGUGAGCUCGAUGAGUAGGGCGGGACACGUGGUAUCCUGUCUGAAUAUGGGGGGACCAUCCUCCAAGGCUAAAUACUCCUGACUGACCGAUAGUGAACCAGUACCGUGAGGGAAAGGCGAAAAGAACCCCGGCGAGGGGAGUGAAAAAGAACCUGAAACCGUGUACGUACAAGCAGUGGGAGCACAGAGCAAUCUGUGUGACUGCGUACCUUUUGUAUAAUGGGUCAGCGACUUAUAUUCUGUAGCAAGGUUAACCGAAUAGGGGAGCCGAAGGGAAACCGAGUCUUAACUGGGCGUUAAGUUGCAGGGUAUAGACCCGAAACCCGGUGAUCUAGCCAUGGGCAGGUUGAAGGUUGGGUAACACUAACUGGAGGACCGAACCGACUAAUGUUGAAAAAUUAGCGGAUGACUUGUGGCUGGGGGUGAAAGGCCAAUCAAACCGGGAGAUAGCUGGUUCUCCCCGAAAGCUAUUUAGGUAGCGCCUCGUGAAUUCAGUCUCCGGGGGGUAGAGCACUGUUUCGGCAAGGGGGUCAUCCCGACUUACCAACCCGAUGCAAACUGCGAAUACCGGAGAAUGUUAUCACGGGAGACACACGGCGGGUGCUAACGUCCGUCGUGAAGAGGGAAACAACCCAGACCGCCAGCUAAGGUCCCAAAGUCAUGGUUAAGUGGGAAACGAUGUGGGAAGGCCCAGACAGCCAGGAUGUUGGCUUAGAAGCAGCCAUCAUUUAAAGAAAGCGUAAUAGCUCACUGGUCGAGUCGGCCUGCGCGGAAGAUGUAACGGGGCUAAACCAUGCACCGAAGCUGCGGCAGCGACACUGUGUGUUGUUGGGUAGGGGAGCGUUCUGUAAGCCUGUGAAGGUGUGCUGUGAGGCAUGCUGGAGGUAUCAGAAGUGCGAAUGCUGACAUAAGUAACGAUAAAGCGGGUGAAAAGCCCGCUCGCCGGAAGACCAAGGGUUCCUGUCCAACGUUAAUCGGGGCAGGGUGAGUCGACCCCUAAGGCGAGGCCGAAAGGCGUAGUCGAUGGGAAACAGGUUAAUAUUCCUGUACUUGGUGUUACUGCGAAGGGGGGACGGAGAAGGCUAUGUUGGCCGGGCGACGGUUGUCCCGGUUUAAGCGUGUAGGCUGGUUUUCCAGGCAAAUCCGGAAAAUCAAGGCUGAGGCGUGAUGACGAGGCACUACGGUGCUGAAGCAACAAAUGCCCUGCUUCCAGGAAAAGCCUCUAAGCAUCAGGUAACAUCAAAUCGUACCCCAAACCGACACAGGUGGUCAGGUAGAGAAUACCAAGGCGCUUGAGAGAACUCGGGUGAAGGAACUAGGCAAAAUGGUGCCGUAACUUCGGGAGAAGGCACGCUGAUAUGUAGGUGAAGUCCCUCGCGGAUGGAGCUGAAAUCAGUCGAAGAUACCAGCUGGCUGCAACUGUUUAUUAAAAACACAGCACUGUGCAAACACGAAAGUGGACGUAUACGGUGUGACGCCUGCCCGGUGCCGGAAGGUUAAUUGAUGGGGUCAGCGCAAGCGAAGCUCUUGAUCGAAGCCCCGGUAAACGGCGGCCGUAACUAUAACGGUCCUAAGGUAGCGAAAUUCCUUGUCGGGUAAGUUCCGACCUGCACGAAUGGCGUAAUGAUGGCCAGGCUGUCUCCACCCGAGACUCAGUGAAAUUGAACUCGCUGUGAAGAUGCAGUGUACCCGCGGCAAGACGGAAAGACCCCGUGAACCUUUACUAUAGCUUGACACUGAACAUUGAGCCUUGAUGUGUAGGAUAGGUGGGAGGCUUUGAAGUGUGGACGCCAGUCUGCAUGGAGCCGACCUUGAAAUACCACCCUUUAAUGUUUGAUGUUCUAACGUGGACCCGUGAUCCGGGUUGCGGACAGUGUCUGGUGGGUAGUUUGACUGGGGCGGUCUCCUCCUAAAGAGUAACGGAGGAGCACGAAGGUUGGCUAAUCCUGGUCGGACAUCAGGAGGUUAGUGCAAUGGCAUAAGCCAGCUUGACUGCGAGCGUGACGGCGCGAGCAGGUGCGAAAGCAGGUCAUAGUGAUCCGGUGGUUCUGAAUGGAAGGGCCAUCGCUCAACGGAUAAAAGGUACUCCGGGGAUAACAGGCUGAUACCGCCCAAGAGUUCAUAUCGACGGCGGUGUUUGGCACCUCGAUGUCGGCUCAUCACAUCCUGGGGCUGAAGUAGGUCCCAAGGGUAUGGCUGUUCGCCAUUUAAAGUGGUACGCGAGCUGGGUUUAGAACGUCGUGAGACAGUUCGGUCCCUAUCUGCCGUGGGCGCUGGAGAACUGAGGGGGGCUGCUCCUAGUACGAGAGGACCGGAGUGGACGCAUCACUGGUGUUCGGGUUGUCAUGCCAAUGGCACUGCCCGGUAGCUAAAUGCGGAAGAGAUAAGUGCUGAAAGCAUCUAAGCACGAAACUUGCCCCGAGAUGAGUUCUCCCUGACCCUUUAAGGGUCCUGAAGGAACGUUGAAGACGACGACGUUGAUAGGCCGGGUGUGUAAGCGCAGCGAUGCGUUGAGCUAACCGGUACUAAUGAACCGUGAGGCUUAACCUU
rnacentral:rRNA from 1 species